GAUCCCUCAACCCCUUCCCAUUCCUUCCCGGUCUUGUCUCAGCACACACGGGGGAGGCGCCGCGGGACAAACAAGGCUCUUGCAGGUUGCAGCGCGUGACGGUGAUGGGAGCGGCAAGAAAAGGAAGAGCAGCGGCGGCGCAUCUCUGUCUCGUGGGGCCAGCCCUCCCGUCCGCGCGUGCGACAACGCCGAUAUGGAGUCCCAGGCUCGGAUAGCCACCACGACGUUGGGUGCCCCGGCGGGGGCUAUUGGGACCAUGCGGCGUCCGGCCAUGAUUCCGGCGACGGCAAGCCGUAUAUAUGAGCCAUCGUCUCCACUUCCUUUCCUUCAUGUUUUAAUCUGCACCUCUACCCCACUCCCCACUGCCUACCUCCCUCUCUCACGUAAGCUCGAGCUCGGGGCAGUGAAAUCCCUCUCAGGUGGCAGAAGCUGACUGUCUUGACAUCUUCAGAGAUUCUAUGUGUCCAGUUGUGGUUGUGCACACCAAUCGUUUGAUGAAUUGCUAAAAGAAAUUGUACGUUUUUUUAUGUAUGUUGGAAUCAGGUAAAAUGUGAUUUUAGCCGUCUGUUGAUUGCUUUCGGCGUCUUGCUGAAUUCUGCGCAUUGCAGGGAGCAGGAACCGACGUCGUCGUCUGGGAGGCAGCCAAGGAUGGAGGUCACUCUUAGUUCAUCUUCCUCUUUGCUCCGUCUCCUGAUGGCUGCCAUGGAGGUUGCUAUUAAGUGAGCAGGUAGUUUGUCAUUGUUCGUGAAUCAUCUGUUUAGUCUUUCUCUUCACUUAAUCGAUGUUCAGCUUUAUAAUAAGUAAACUAUGGUAUGGUGAGUACCUCUCAAUACUCGAUGGCUUCCCUUAUUUAGACUAUUGAUUUAUUUUCGAAUAAUAGGCCCCUGUUCCAGUUCAAAAGGGAAUCAUGUAGCAGCAGCAAUUAAUAUGCUUUUCAGUUUUAUUAUAAGUAAAUUUCAAAAUAAAUGUGUCAUAACAUAAGUAUUGAGUCUAUGAUUGUAUAUAUGUAUCGAACCUUGAUGAACUGGUUUGGUUGAUAUUAUUUUAAAUUUAGUUUCAGAUACUACCGAAUUUCUGAUUUUCGGUUACAUAUAAUUAUGAUAUAUGUUGCAUCAUCUUUGUGUUCAGACUUCAGAUAUGUCAGCAAGCCACUUUCGAGCCUUGCUCAUUUACAUCAGUAUUUGUUUUCACAUUAGUGCACCAUGGUCUUUUUGUCUUUCAUUUCUACCUAAAGAGCAACAAUCAGGUGACUUCCCUUUCCUCCUUUUCUCUUGUUUUAAAACUCUUAAUGUUCAAACCAUUGCAACUUCGUAAUCAUCCAAUCUUUCACCUUUGCAGACUUUCUAUGAGAACUUCAGGUAUCGGUGCGACAAACGGGCUAACCCAUAUAACAUGAUUGCUUGGAGCUGACAUAGAGGGUGGCGAGAUGCAGAGGAGCCCUAGGUACAGGUGAAGGGAGACGCUGGGUGGCAGGUCGAGCAACUAUGGUUGGGGUGGCUGUGUGAAGAAGAGAGAGGUAGGAAAGGAAGUGUUGGGCUAGCUGAUGCUACCGGGAUGAAUCAGGGAGAUUAGAGGAGAGAAGUUGAGAGAGAUUUCGGCGAUGUUUAGGAGAAGAGGAUUUCUCUAGCUAUGCCAACCCAAGAUGUGUGAUGCUCAAGAAGGUAUGUGAUGCUAACGCAUAUACAAAGAACGAGGUGUGUUGUUAAUUUGGUGGACAGUGCCCUUCUUAAAAUAAAUAUGUGGUGCCGUAGACAACUGAAGAAUUAUCACUUAUAGUUCCGUUAGGUUUGUUACCUCCGUUGUUCGGAUACUUAAAUGUUUCACUGAGGAUUUUUUAAUCCAUCCGGCCAUCAGCUUAUACCUGGAUGUACCUUCAUGUUCUACAAAUCUAUUAAUUUAUCAUAGGACAAGCAGACGAUGGAAGUAGUAUAGUUUCUUGAAUUAUUACCAUGGUCCGCCAAAUUUUUUAAUUACUGAAUCAGCAUAAGUUUUAUGUUUCUCUGUUGUAAUUCUUCUGUAGGCUGUUUUCUGUGUCUCUGCAAGUGCCUUUUUGCUCAGAUGCUUUUUUUACAGUGCAUCAAGUGGAGUUUAGUUCAUUCACCUCUCCACAUCUCCUCAUUUUCAUGAUUGUUCAGAUUGCUAACCGACGGACUAGAAGCAUGCCCACCUUUCUGUUCCUUUUAGUUCCAAAUAAUCUUUUUUUUCCGAAUGAAUGCAUGCUUAUAGUAUUGAAAUAUAUUUUUUCUAUACUUGGUAGAUCAUAAACCGCCAAAUCACGCUGCUACUGGUGUGUUUACUGCUCCAUAAUUGAGUCAGUUUUGUGUGCAUUAUCUGAACAAUGUCAACGCUGCCUUCCUUCUGACAUACUAUUUCGGCUGUUGAUUGAUGUUGCGGCUGCUGCGGCUGGUGGUGCUCUGGGCACGCAAGGGGAGCGCGGCACACAAACUCCGCCUGCUCAAGACGUUGCGCCACAACCAUGCCGGCCUCGGUGUCAGGCGCAACGAUUGGUUUGCACUAUGGCGAACUAGAAUUCCCCAGCGCACACUUGCUCCAGUUUAUCCUCUACGGCAAUGGUCGCUACUUCUGCGAUGCCCGUGAGAGGGAUGUGGACUGCAUCGAGGACUACUACGAUGGCGAGCAAAACGAGCACGGCCUGGAGAACCUCGAUGAUGGGCAGAUGAGCAGUUGCUCUAUAGUGGCAGGUCCUCGUGGCUGCAGUACAAUGACAUGAGAUGUGCUAGAUACAGUGCUAAGAUUGCAUGUUUAUUUGGGCAGAAAUCACAUAUUUGACCUGA